CUGUAGAGAUACGGGGGUGCCUUCGGGAACUGUGAGACAGGUGCUGCAUGGCUGUCGUCAGCUCGUGUUGUGAAAUGUUGGGUUAAGUCCCGCAACGAGCGCAACCCUUAUCCUUUGUUGCCAGCGGUCCGGCCGGGAACUCAAAGGAGACUGCCAGUGAUAAACUGGAGGAAGGUGGGGAUGACGUCAAGUCAUCAUGGCCCUUACGACCAGGGCUACACACGUGCUACAAUGGCGCAUACAAAGAGAAGCGACCUCGCGAGAGCAAGCGGACCUCAUAAAGUGCGUCGUAGUCCGGAUUGGAGUCUGCAACUCGACUCCAUGAAGUCGGAAUCGCUAGUAAUCGUGGAUCAGAAUGCCACGGUGAAUACGUUCCCGGGCCUUGUACACACCGCCCGUCACACCAUGGGAGUGGGUUGCAAAAGAAGUAGGUAGCUUAACCUUCGGGAGGGCGCUUACCACUUUGUGAUUCAUGACUGGGGUGAAGUCGUAACAAGGUAACCGUAGGGGAACCUGCGGUUGGA
rnacentral:rRNA from 1 species